CCUACGGGAGGCAGCAGUGGGGGAUAUUGCACAAUGGGGGAAACCCUGAUGCAGCGACGCCGCGUGGGUGAAGAAGUAUUUCGGUAUGUAAAGCCCUAUCAGCAGGGAAGAAAGAAGACGGUACCUGACUAAGAAGCCCCGGCUAACUACGUGCCAGCAGCCGCGGUAAUACGUAGGGGGCGAGCGUUAUCCGGAUUCACUGGGUGUAAAGGGAGCGUAGACGGCCGUGCAAGCCAGGAGUGAAAGCCCGGGGCCCAACCCCGGGACUGCUCUUGGAACUGUGCGGCUGGAGUGCGGGAGGGGCAGGCGGAAUUCCUGGUGUAGCGGUGAAAUGCGUAGAUAUCAGGAGGAACACCGGCGGCGAACGCGGCCUGCUGGACCGCGACUGACGUUGAGGCUCGAAAGCGUGGGGAGCGAACAGGAUUAGAUACCCGGGUAGUC
rnacentral:rRNA from 1 species